UUCCAUCAAUGAGUCUCUGAAGCAAAGCACAACCAACAAGCCUGUGGUUCUUCUACAUCUGGAUAGGACAGUUCCGAAUCAGAACUCACCUGUGUGAACCUUUUCCAUCUACAAAGCCUAAAAGGAUAAACACAGAUUCAUGAACGUGCAACUUAUAUUAACCAAUCAGAAUCAGAACCUAUGACAGUCCCAGUCUUCUCUGAAAUCAGAAGAUGGAUGUGCCUCAUUAGAGAAUUUGCAGAGUCCAGUCUAGGUCAGUUGUGUCCCAGAACCCAAGACCCAAAUUCUGUCACCACUGCGAUGAAACGUUCGGAAUUGUGACACAAUUUAACAGAUCUUUUUCUCGUUUCUGCAAGAAGUGAGGCUGGUUUUUCUUCCGUCUUCUGGGAAUGAAGGCCUCGGAGGCUCCGAUGGGUGGACCAAGUCCAGAUUGAAAACAAGAGGAAGGAAGGAAAAAGAGUCUAGGAGGAAGCAGAGGAGACAGGAUGGAGGUACUCCUGAGUUAAACUUAAAAAAGAGUGAAUGAUGAUUAUUAAGAAAAGUUGGAAACAAAAGAACAAACAGUUAAUAGGGGAAGAAAGGAGAAAUUUGACUUUCAGCAUGACAGGAUAAAGAAAAGCAAAUAAGGAAAAAAGGAAGAGGAAAAUGGAGAGGAUGGGAUGAGCCAUAAAAUGGGAUGCAGAGAAGGAAUGCAUAUUAUCCAGGAACUUUUGAAUUAAGGAGGAAAAAAAAGAACAUCAGAAAAAAGAAAGUGAUGAAGAGGAGAAGAUAAGGAUGAAGACGUGAAGAAGAAGAAGCCAGUAAAUCGACAUCAUGCAAAGUGACUGCUUUAUUAGGUUGUGUCUUAUUCAAGAGCUGAGUUGCAGCUGCUCGUGUUUAAUAUCAUUUACAUGAGCAGAAACUCGGUUACGUAGGCGACCGCCGUGGAGGUGAUCCAUCCUCCCACGCUCACGGCCACGGACGACACGGACUCGAUGCAUCAUUCUCGUUUUAAAUUUAUUAUUUGAUUGUUUUGUCUCUUCUUUUCCUCAAUAGCUGCAACCUUAACAGCAAAUCCCACCUGCUGUGUCUCACCUGAGGCCGUUUAUUAAAACACUUUGUUUGAAUCAGGUAAUACACAUGAAAAGUCAACCUGAGUCAAACAUAAAUAAUUAAAACAAUAAAUGUACAAGUAAAAGUGUAACAAGGUGAUCUGUCCAAUGCUUCGUUUCUCUCUACAAUUAAAACUUAUUAUUUAUUUUGUUUUACUAAAAAUAAAUAUAUUUCUUUUUUACUUUGAAUAAAUAAGUGUAAAGCCGC